UCCCUGGAAGAGAGAGGAGCCAUUUCUUA
rnacentral:piRNA from 1 species